rnacentral:rRNA from 1 species
UUUGAAUGUAAAUAAGGAAAAUCAAAUUAGUAAUAGUUAUGAUCUUUAAAUUUAAAGAUUUUGGCGGUAUUUUAGUCUAUUCAGAGGAACCUGUUCUAUAAUUGAUAUUCCACGAUAAAAUGUACUUUAAUUAUUAGUUUGUAUAUCGUCGUUUUUAAUUGUUUUAUAAGAAAUUUAAUAAUUAAGAUUUUUAAUUAAAAAAUAAAUCAGAUCAAGGUGCAGUUUAUAUUAAAGAAGAAAUGGGUUACAAUAAAUUUAUUUAUUAUGAAUUUGCUUAUUUAAAUUAGUGAAGAAGGUGGAUUUGAUAGUAAUAGAAUUAACAUAAAUUUUAUGAUUUUGGCUCUAAAAUGUGU